rnacentral:rRNA from 1 species
CCUACGGGUGGCUGCAGUGAGGAAUAUUGGUCAAUGGACGAGAGUCUGAACCAGCCAAGUAGCGUGCAGGAUGACUGCCCUAUGGGUUGUAAACUUCUUUUAUGUGGGAAUAAAAUGUUUCACGUGUGGGAUUUUGUAUGUACCAUAUGAAUAAGGAUCGGCUAACUCCGUGCCAGCAGCCGCGGUAAUACGGAGGAUCCGAGCGUUAUCCGGAUUUAUUGGGUUUAAAGGGAACGUAGGCGGAUUGUUAAGUCAGUUGUGAAAUUUUGCGGCUCAACCGUGAAAUUGCAGUGGAAACUGGCAGGCUUGAGUACAGGAGAGGUAGGCGGAAUUCGUGGUGUAGCGGUGAAAUGCUUAGAUAUCACGAAGAACUCCGAUUGCGAAGGCAGCACACGGGACUGCAACUGACACUGAGGCUCGAAAGUGUGGGUAUCAAACAGGAUUAGAUACCCCAGUAGUC